UACGGGGGGAGCAAGCGUUGUUCGGAUUUACUGGGCGUAAAGGGCUCGUAGGUGGCCAACUAAGUCAGACGUGAAAUCCCUCGGCUUGACCGGGGAACUGCGUCUGAUACUGGAUGGCUUGAAUCCGGGAGAGGGAUGCGGAAUUCCAGGUGUAGCGGUGAAAUGCGUAGAUAUCUGGAGGAACACCGGUGGCGAAGGCGGCAUCCUGGACCGGCAUUGACGCUGAGGAGCGAAAGCCAGGGGAGCGAACUGG
rnacentral:rRNA from 1 species